GGGUAAUGACCUCAACUAUAUCAUGAAAGGCGAAUGUAUAUGUUCUGCCAUUGUCCUGCAUCAUGCGGUUAACUGCGUACGUUCACAUCACAACUUGCAUGGAUCUGA
rnacentral:snoRNA from 1 species